rnacentral:rRNA from 1 species
UCGUGGAGGUCCGAACCCACGAGCGUUGAAAAGCUCGGGGAUGACUUGUGGGUAGCGGUGAAAUUCCAAUCGAGCCCGGAGAUAGCUGGUUCUCCCCGAAAUAGCUUUAGGGCUAGCCUCAAGGUGAGAGAUACGGAGGUAGAGCACUGAAUGUCCUAGGGGGUAUUGCACCUACCGAAGACUAUCAAACUCCGAAUGCCGUCAUCUUAUACUUGGGAGUCAGACUGUGGGUGAUAAGAUUCAUAGUCGAAAGGGCAACAGCCCAGAUCGUCAGCUAAGGUCCCUAAAUGUAAGUUAAGUGGUAAAGGAUGUGGGAUUGCACAGACAACCAGGAUGUUGGCUUAGAAGCAGCCACUCAUUCAAAGAGUGCGUAAUAGCUCACUGGUCGAGUGAUCCUGCGCCGAAGAUUUCCGGGGCUAAAACUUACUACCGAAGCUACGGCAUCAGUAAUGAGGGGUAGGGGAGCUUCCCAUACGGGUUGAAGCAUGACCGUAAGGACAUGGGGACAGUAUGGGAGUGAGAAUGUUGGCAUGAGUAGCGAGAUGUGGGUGAGAAUCCCACAGGCCGUAAACCCAAGGUUUCCAGGGGAAGGUUCGUCCGCCCUGGGUUAGUCGGGACCUAAGCUGAGGCCGAAAGGCGUAGGUGAUGGACAACAGGUUGAUAUUCCUGUACUACCGAUAACCGUUUGAGAGAAGGGAUGACACAGUAGGAUAAGCUAAGCACACUGUUGGUUAUGUGUGCCCAAGCAUUGAGGCAGUCAAAG